rnacentral:rRNA from 1 species
GACGAACCGAGCGAACGUUGUUCGGAAUCACUGGGCUUAAAGGGCGCGUAGGCGGGUGCUCAAGUCUGUGGUGAAAUCCUCCGGCUCAACCGGAGAACUGCCAUGGAUACUGGGUGCCUCGAGGGUGGUAGGGGUAUGCGGAACUAUCGGUGGAGCGGUGAAAUGCGUUGAUAUCGAUAGGAACUCCGGUGGCGAAGGCGGCAUACUGGACCACUUCUGACGCUGAGGCGCGAAAGCCAGGGAGCGAACGGG